AAAAAAAAAGUUACAGUAUGCUGCCAAAGCAGUGUUUGGUGAGAAAUUUAUAACACUAAAUGCGUAUUUUAGAAAAGAAGAAAGGUUUAAAAUGAAUGCACUAAGCUUUCACAUUAAGCGACUAGAACAAAUUAAACUUAAGGUAAACAGAAGGAUGAAAAAUGAAGAAGAGUAGAAAUUAAUGAAUCAGAAAAUGGAUCAUAAUAAUACAAUUUGAAAAAAAAUAGAAGCUAUAUACAUGACAAAAAACUUCAAUCUAAUUAAGGGUAAAAUUUGUUUGCAACGUGUUGCUAAAUCGAUUUCUCACUUACUAAGAAAAUCUAUAAAAUCCUAUCAUUUCUUUCGAAAGAGGAUGUUUGAAAGCAGCAGCAUAUUCAUGUUUAAAAUUGAAGUAACAUAGUCACAAAAAAAUAAAAUGGAAGAAGCAAACAAAAAAAAAGGAACAAAUUGAAAGGCUUUAUUGAUUGGUAAAAACACUUAAGAGAAUCAGAAAAAUAAACCAAGAGAAAUGAUAUUGUUCAAAAGUAAAAAAGAAAGACAUAUAUAAAUCAAGAGGGGAAAAAAGCUUUAAUCUCCUAAUUAGGAGGCAGAAAUAGAGAAAAAAUCCAACCAGAUGGACAGGGCUCUGUGGGCAGCCUUACUGUUGGAUUUGUGGCUGCCAAAUAGUGCAGGCCAUUUCCAGAAAUUGGGUUCUAUAUUGUAAGAAUUUAGUAUCUAGAGAUGUGACAGUAAUUAAAUCUCAGUUUUUGCAACAAGCCCUAUAUUCAGAGAGACUCCCUAGCUUCUGCAGAACACACUUCCAGCCACCAUAUUAAUAGUUGAGGGGUAUUUCUUCUAUUUCAAAAUGACAGCUGCAUUCCUCUUUGGCAAUUAGACUUUUAACUCUCUGGGGAAUGAAGACUCUUUGCAGAUUUGCAACAAUUACCCUAACUUGCCUUGUACUGCUUUACUGCUGCUUGGUACUGCUCCCAUUGAUCUGCUGGUCAGUUCUGCUACUCAUGUCUGAUGAAGUUAUUGUAAAAGACAGAAGAAAUGGAGAAGCCCAGUGUGUUGACUUAGGACAUUUCAUUUUCUCUUUAAAAGUAGAUAUCCUUGUAAUCUACGCCCAUCGUACUAUAACUUUUCCUUCUAUUUCUGUAACUUGUUAAACAAAGGCACCAUGUAUUGAAUGACUUUUCAUACCAAAUGAUUUUGAUAGACGCUCAUUCCUGAAGUACCUGCUGUCUUAAAUAUUUAAGGGCAAAAGAUUCUGAGAAGGUACGACCUUGGAAGAACGUCGUUCAAGCCUAAUGAAAAUGAGCACAUUCUUGAAAAUGCUACAGAGCGUGCACAGAAAUAUGCCUCAGAGACCAUCUUAGUCCACAAGUGCCUCCAUUGAACUCAUGCCUGCUUGCUCUAGACUCGCCGAUUAGAAUGCCCCACUGGAAACCUGCUCAGGUAACACCCUGGACCCCAAUAAAGGCUUUAGCCCACAUGGCUUUCUUUCUCCCUCUCUCUUGCUCGCCAUCAAGCAUGUGUGUCCUGGAUGGGCCGCCACUUUGCAUUUCCCCUUCCAGGCAUGCAGCCCUCUUAUCUCUGGGACCUGUAAGUAAUAAACUGCUUUUAUUUCA